UACGUAGGGGGCAAGCGUUGUCCGGAAUCAUUGGGCGUAAAGAGCGUGUAGGCGGCUUGGUAAGUCCGCUGUGAAAGUCCAGGGCUCAACCCUGGAAUGCCGGUGGAAACUGUCAGGCUCGAGUCCGGAAGAGGCGAGUGGAAUUCCUGGUGUAGCGGUGAAAUGCGCAGAUAUCAGGAGGAACACCGGUGGCGAAGGCGGUCUGCUGGGGUGAUGCUGACACUGAUGCGCGACAGCGUGGGGAGCAAACAGG
rnacentral:rRNA from 1 species